UAGGGAAUCUUCCGCAAUGGACGAAAGUCUGACGGAGCAACGCCGCGUGAGCGAAGAAGGUCUUCGGAUCGUAAAGCUCUGUUGUCAGGGAAGAACAAGUACCGUUCGAACAGGGCGGUACCUUGACGGUACCUGACGAGGAAGCCACGGCUAACUACGUGCCAGCAGCCGCGGUAAUACGUAGGUGGCAAGCGUUGUCCGGAAUUAUUGGGCGUAAAGCGCGCGCAGGCGGUCCCUUAAGUCUGAUGUGAAAGCCCACGGCUUAAUCGUGGAGGGUCAUUGGAAACUGGGGGACUUGAGUGCAGAAGAGGAGAGCGGAAUUCCACGUGUAGCGGUGAAAUGCGUAGAGAUGUGGAGGAACACCAGUGGCGAAGGCGGCUCUCUGGUCUGUAACUGACGCUGAGGCGCGAAAGCGUGGGGAGCAAACAGG
rnacentral:rRNA from 1 species